rnacentral:rRNA from 1 species
UUCCCGGUUGAUCCCGCCGGAGGCCACCGCUAUUGGAAUCCGAUUAAGACAUGUGAGUCGAGAGUCUUCGGGACUCGGCAGACGGCUCAGUAACACGCGGAUAAUCUGCCAUUGGGUGGGGAAUAAUCUCGGGAAACUGAGCAUAAUACCCCAUAGGCCUGAGACGCUGGAACGCCCUCAGGCUAAAAGCUCCGGCGCCCAAGGAUGAGUCUGCGGCCUAUCAGCUUGUAGUUGGUGUAAAUGACCAACUAGGCGACGACGGGUACGGGCAUUGGGAGAUGUAGCCCGGAGAUGGACUCUGAGACACGAGUCCAGGCCCUACGGGGCGCAGCAGUCGCGAAAACUUCACAAUGUGGGAAACCGCGAUGAGGGGAUUCCAAGUGCUUGCGUUUUGCGUAAGCUGUUCUCCUGCCUAAAAAGCAGGGGGAGUAAGGGCUGGGUAAGACGGGUGCCAGCCGCCGCGGUAAUACCCGCAGCCCAAGUGGUGGUCGAUAUUAUUGAGCUUAAAGCGUCCGUAGCCUGUCUGGUAAAUUCUUGGGUAAAUCGUGCAGCUUAACUGUCCGAAUUCCGGGGAGACUGCCAGACUUGGGACCGGGAGAGGUUGGAGGUACUCCUGGGGUAGGGGUAAAAUCCCGUAAUCCUGGGAGGACCAUCAGUGGCGAAGGCGUCCAACUGGAACGGAUCCGACGGUCAGGGACGAAGCCCUGGGUCGCGAACUGGAUUAGAUACCCAGGUAGUCCAGGGUGUAAACGCUGCAGACUUGGUGUCGGAGGUCCUACGAGGGCGUCCGGUGCCGGAGAGAAAUUGUUAAGUCUGCCGCUUGGGGAGUACGUCCGCAAGGAUGAAACUUAAAGGAAUUGGCGGGAGAGCACCGCAACGGGAGGAGCGUGCGGUUCAAUUGGAUUCAACGCCGGG